AAAAGAGAAAGGGUAAAAGGGAAUCAGGUGCAAGUCCUGAGCGAUCCGGUCACUGUAACUGGUGAGAGCCCCGCAAAAAUGCCAUUGCCGAAAGGUGAGAAGGCGCGGGAAUCGCAGACCCAGAAGUCAGGAAACCUGCUUGUUUUGA
rnacentral:ncRNA from 1 species